rnacentral:rRNA from 1 species
GACGAACGCUGGCGGCGUGCUUAACACAUGCAAGUCGAACGGAAAGGCCCUGCUUUUGUGGGGUGCUCGAGUGGCGAACGGGUGAGUAACACGUGAGUAACCUGCCCUUGACUUUGGGGUAACUUCAGGAAACUGGGGCUAAUACCGGAUAGGAGCUCCUGCUGCAUGGUGGGGGUUGGAAAGUUUCGGCGGUUGGGGAUGGACUCGCGGCUUAUCAGCUUGUUGGUGGGGUAGUGGCUUACCAAGGCUUUGAAGGGUAGCCGACCUGAGAGGGUGACCGGCCACAUUGGGACUGAGAGACGGCCCAGACUCCGACGGGCGGCAGCAGUGGGGAAUAUUGCACAAUGGGCGGACGCCUGAGGCAGCAACGCCGCGUUCGUGAUGACGGCCUUCGGGUUGUAAACCGCUUUCGCCUGUGACGAAGCGUGAGUGACGGUAAUGGGUAAAGAAGCACCGGCUAACUACGUG